rnacentral:lncRNA from 1 species
AGAGGAGGGCAGACUGCUGAGCCGCGUCCUUCUGUAGCUGAUCUCUGACUGUUCCAACCAAGCAGAAACAUCCGUGACCCAGGCCUGGUCGCACAUGCCUGCAAGCUGGAUGCACAGUAAUUGCCACAAGUUCAAGAUCAGCCAAGGACUCCCAGGCCAAGCAGGUCUAUACACUGAGACCCCGCUUCAGCGAGUCAAGGAAAUCAAGCCAAAAGUGUGGCAGUACACACCUCCCAAUGCUCACUCCAGCACCUGAUCCAGGAGGAUCACAUGUUCCAGGCUUGAACUACAAAGCAAAACCCUGUCUCAGACAUUAAAAAGGAAAACGGAAGUGAGGCUG